CCUCACAGAUGGAUCUGCAUGAAGCCAUUCAGGACAAGGAGAGAGGUAUGAGUUUCUCUUCCUCUUUUUGGCUGGAACUGCUAGGCCCCUCCAGUUUUCAACAGAAUCUUCUUCUGUUGGAGGGAUGUUUGUGACAGUGUCAGACUUCCUGUGUCCAGUGUCAGAACAGAAAGCAUCCAUUUCUGGUUUUACAUCUACACAGCAAGUUGUGGUGGGUAGUGGAUCGGGUCCUGUGACGGUCACUGUUGCAACAGCUGCAUCCUCUUUGCCUUUUUCCUCACCUUUUUGUUUUGCAGAACAAAUUCGCAUGUUGCCUUCAAUGAAGGACAGAUGUCGAGCAAUGAAUCGAUCUACUCGAAUAGGCAAGUUUUCAUGCUUGAAAAGGCCUCGUUUGAUGUUUUUGAACUCUGCUUCAACAUUAGCUGAACUUGCAGUUAUGUUGGUGCUUUGGAAGUGAGGGAUCAUUACCCCUGUCCAAAGUGGUCUGUCUGUGUUUGGUCACAUGGAUCCAGUUCUUCCAGGUCCUCACCCUCUACAUCUGGAAUGAUGACAUGCUCUUCUGCAAUUCGGGCUUUCAGGUAUUUCUUGCACUUUUCUGAUAAGAGGGGGGCUCCUGAGCUGUCAUUGCCUUCUGCUUCACUGAGAGCCACAACAGUAAUACUGCAUAGUAGUUCUCUUGCAUCAUCCAUGGAUUGGGACAUGAGAAGCUGUGCCAUUGACCUCACAAAGAAAUCUUUAAUGCGAUGAUGUUUUUUCUUCAAGCAGUCCCACUGGCAGAUCAUCUUGAUGCUGAAUGCACUUUAAUGCGAUGAUGCUGCACUUUUGCUGAAUGUUUACCAAGUAAGACACCCCAACACUCAUUGAUGUAGGUCUUUAGAUCAGGAUGAGGAGUAAAAGCCUUGACCAGAGCUCCGAGCAAAGCCAGAGAAAAGUCACUCACAACCUUUUUUGGAGCUGGCGCACCUGCACGUAUCCAUUCUGUCAGCCAAUGUGUUAUCGCAUUAACAUCAUGUCUCUCUGACAGCAUUUGCACCACUGGACACUUGAGCUCUCAUCCCCUGCCAGAACACCCUGAUAUAAGAAGAUGUGGCCAGACUUGCCAUUUGGUCUCUGUAGUUUCCUCACUACUGAGCCAGUUGCAUCAAAACUCACAGUGGGCUUUGCGCAGGGUGGCCAAAUUAGGCAGAUGGCUCGGCUCAGGAUCUCCAAAAUCCAUCAGCUUUGUUGCCUCUGAUGCCCUCCAUACAUGGGGUUCCAUUCUACCCUCACACAGCUCUUUGGCUAUCUGCACACGCAAGUUACCGGACAUCGGACGCUUGGAACAGCCAGUGUGCAGGGAGUCAUCAGUGUUCCUAAGUAAACACUUGAGCACCAUCGGACUGUUAAUUUCAGGCUCUUGUUCACAUUUUAUGUGAAUGUGGCCACGACACUCUUUACAUUGGCCUCUGACAUCAAUGUAUAUCUCUGUGACUGAUGGAUAGACCUUGGCUCUUUUAAAGGCAAAUGUGCAGGGGCAUUUUACUUCUUGCCAAAUCUGAUGAUUUAUCACAUGUGUCCAGAUGCCAGGCUUCAAAAUUGUGUAUACCCUCUUUUGUGUUUUAGAGACCUUGUCUUUGUAUUUAACCGUUUCAGGCAUGAAUUCAAUCCAUUUCUGAAAUGGAACUUCAAGAUUAAAAGUCCAGCAAUCUUUUGAUUUGGAGGAAAGGGACCCUGGCUCAAAAUCAGUGUCAUCACUACAGCCACUUGUUUCAUGAUCACUUCCAUGAAUAUACCCUAAAGCAUUCCAGAUGUUGUGUCUGUUUAAUUUAGCAAAAGUGUAUAGAGCCUUUGCAGUGAUCUUGUCUUCUAGCUGUUUACUAAGCUCUGUCCAGAUGCUCUGAUUUGGAGUAGCUAUGUUGCCAUUUUGGACUAUAGCCUCUUUAGAUGAACACAGGACUGUGAAAAUGGAAUCCUUGUCGACUGCUGGUUUCUUUGGCAUCUGGCAUAAGCAAAAUAUAAUUACCCACUUAAAUAAUCCUGAUUAAAAAAUA